rnacentral:rRNA from 1 species
GACGAACGCUGGCGGCGUGCCUAACACAUGCAAGUCAACUUGAGGGAAGGAGCAAUCUGACCUGAUGGUGGCGCAAGGGUGCGUAACGCGUAAGUAUCUUGCCCCAAGGUAAGGAAUAACGUCGAGAAAUCGGCGCUAAUACCUCAUAAUGCAGCGGAUCCGCAUGGAUAUGUUGUUAAAGGUUUACCGCCUUGGGAUAGGCUUGCGUCUGAUUAGCUAGUUGGUGUGGUAAUGGCACACCAAGGCUACGAUCAGUAACUGGUCUGAGAGGAUGAUCAGUCACACUGGAACUGAGACACGGUCCAGACUCCUACGGGAGGCAGCAGUGAGGAAUAUUGGGCAAUGCACGAAAGUAGUGACCCAGCAACGCCGCGUGGAGGAUGAAGGUAUUCUAUAUCGUAAACUCCUGUGAGAGCAGACGAAAGAACAGAUUAUUAAUUUAGGUAUGACUGUAUGCUCAGAGGAAG